GACACUUUGGCCGAGUGGUUAAGGCGACACCCUGCUAAUCCUGGCAGUUCUAGGUGUUGGGGUUUCCCCGCGUGUGUUCGAAUCGCACAGGUGUCG